UUUUAAUCUUGAAAAUAUUUUUCAUGAUAAAUGAAAAUAGAUUGAUCUGAAAAGUGAAAUUGUAUUUUUUUUUCAAUUUAAUUUAAAAUAUUAAUUUAAUUUUCAUUAAAAUGUUUACUUAUUUAAGUAUACAUGUAUUUCUUACUUGUAGACAUUGUUGUGAUAUUUGUUAUAACUUGCAUAAGCCAGAAGUACACCAAAACCUGGUCCAAGAGAGAAAAACACUUGCGUUGCUGCAUCCACCCAGACCUGAAAAAGAUUAUUCUUUCCCAUAAGAAUAAAACGUGCACGAUUCCACUUUCUAAAUCUACAAAUUUUCGAAAUUAAUAAAUUUCCUUCGUCGCUGUAUAAAUUCUAUUUCACCGAUCUCUGGAAGCAAUGGUUCGAAGGUGCUAUAGAAAAAUGCAUUUCACUUGCGAAUCAAGAGGGUCGAACGCGGCUCACCACUGGAACGAAAAUCUAAUGGUCAUUAUGACAGAUUUUUAUUCCUCGCCAUGACUGGUGUAAAUGGCUAUUUCAUAACGUCGCGAUUAUCCACUGAAAGGCGAUUCGUUAAAUCCGACGAAGUGGAGGAACGCAUGAUGAAGCAAGAGAAGUGAAAAUAGUUUAUAGUGAUAUAAAAAAGGAUGGAAAUAUGUUUUGUAUUAUUACUUGAAACUGGAUUUUUUUGAAGAAAUUCAAGUCAUUUUACACAUUAUACUCACUUGAAAUAUUCUUGAGCAGCGCUUGUGUACCACGUGCUAUUGUAUCCUUGAUUCGAAUUCCUAUCCAAACGGUCCUCGAUCAGAGAUGAAUUGCCAGGAUAUGUGGAGUCGAGCGUGUCGACGAAAUAUGCAUCGUCGAACAUGUAGUCCAAGGUAAAAGACUUGCGAACGAGGCGAAGAAGUACCUCAAUGCCCAGGCGAUGAUCACAUUAUAAUAGAAAUCGACGUAGAAUGCAAUUAAUACCACUGCGUAGCCAAUUCCUACGCACAGAUAAAAAAUUAUAUAUAAAAAGGAUUAAAAAAUCUCCAAGGACGUGUCCUUAUGUCCUGGUUCCCAGCCGGAGAAUAUUCCAUUAUCCUCCCGUGGGGAGGCCGUAUCUUCACCGUCACGAAUCAAUUACGUCGUUCAUCGAUGCGGAUCAAAAGGGAAAAAACGCGCGUAAGACAAGAGAGUCGAGAGAGAGAAAAAAAAUCUGGUUCCAUCGAUCAUCUCACGCCAGGGUAGCCCGAGAUUGAGAUCGUCACGAUCCAGGAAAUCGGCGGAAAUGGGGGACUACUUCUCGAGUGGUCUUCCAUCCUCGGAUUUUCCCGGAUUUAUACCGCGUUACAUAAUGUACCGUGUGGGGAAGAAAGGAAGAAAAGAAAAUAUAACAUCUAAUGUCUAAUGCACGGUUUCCGGUGAAGAUGACGGUAAAGUGCUUUGAAACGUUUUCCAGAAAUGUUCUGAGAGGCAAUCGGAAUAGUAAUUGGCCAGCAGUGCUGUUACCUCUAUUGUUGAUGAAGUCUAUUCGGUGAAUGGUAUCGAGUGGAUGGGGGUAUUUUAACGCGAUUAUUUCAAAGCUGGGUGAUUUUUUUUGUAAAAAAGUAUUGAGAACAGUUAUUGAAAUUGUCUUUGAUCGAAAGAAGGUGAAAAAUAAUGGAAAAUCGUCUUACUUACCUUUUAAAAGUGGUACCAAACGACCCCAGCAAGUGAUCGCACCUUUUCGAUUGAACUGACCCAAGGCAAGCUCCAUAUAAAACAAUGGAAUACCUCCUACUACUAACAUUAUACAAUAUGGAACCAGGAAAGCGCCUGUGAACACAAUUCACAACAUUUUUGUGAAUUGUAGUCAUUUUUUAUUAAGAACUAAUAAUAAAAAUUUAUUUAAACAGAACAGUAUCAAAUAUAAUAUAAAAAUAUAACAUAAAUAAAAGAAUAAUUUUUUUUAAUUUUUUGAAUAACAUUUAAAUAUUGAUCAGAUAACAAAUUAAUGUUUGACAAUUGUGAUAAUAUAUCUUACAAAAUAUAUUUGUUAAUAUUUUCAAUAUUUUAAAAUUGCAAUAAAAAUUGCAAUAAAAGAAAUAAUAUUUGAUUUUGAAAAAUUUCUUGUUGGUUCAGAAUUGCAAUUAAUUUCUGAUUAUUAAAGAUCUCUCGAAUACUUUUCUGUCACAUAUUGAAUAAAUAUUGAAAUGAAAUUUCAUCAGAUAAUAAUUGGAAAAUCGUUGUUUAAUAU